AGCUGGUCCAAAGGUAGUGAUUUUUCGCAAUUGUUCAGUCACAUUGAGCUUCUUGUUCUACUCUUUCUCCCCUCUCACUACUGCACUUGUCUUAAC
rnacentral:Y_RNA from 1 species